GCAUAUCAUUAAGCGGAGGAAAAGAAACUAACAAGGAUUCCCCUAGUAACUGCGAGUGAAGCGGGAAGAGCUCAAAUUUGAAAUCUGGCGGUCAUGCCGUCCGAGUUGUACCCUGGAGAAGCGUUUUCCGUGCCGGACCGUGUACAAGUCUCUUGGAACAGAGCGUCAUAGAGGGUGAGAAUCCCGUCUUUGACRCGGACUCCCGGUGCUCUGCGUAGCGCUCUCGAAGAGUCGAGUUGUUUGGGAAUGCAGCUCAAAAUGGGUGGUAAAUUCCAUCUAAAGCUAAAUAUUGGCGAGAGACCGAUAGCGAACAAGUACCGUGAGGGAAAGAUGAAAAGCACUUUGGAAAGAGAGUAAAACAGUACGUGAAAUUGUUGAAAGGGAAACGCUUGGAGUCAGUCGCGUCUUCUGGAACUCAGCCUUGCUUCUGCUCGGUGCACUUUCCAGUUCGACGGGUCAGCAUCGGCUCAGGGGGGCGGACAAAGGCGCGGGGAAGGUGGCAGCUCCGGCUGUGUUAUAGCCCCGCGUUGUACGCGCCCUCCGGGACCGAGGAAUCCGGCGCUCGCCGCCCGGGAUGCUGGCGUAAUGGCUUUAAACGACCCGUCUUGAAACACGGACC
rnacentral:rRNA from 1 species